rnacentral:lncRNA from 1 species
UGGGAGCAGGUCUCUCCUGUGUGGUGUCAAGGACAGGUCACCUCAAAGUCAAGGGGGAACAGCACCUGGCUUUGCAGCAGCAGUGACAGGUGGAAGGAUGCAAGAUGGGACAAGAGGUGUGGUGGCCUGUAUGGCCUGAAGGCUUUCUC